rnacentral:ncRNA from 1 species
CCUGUGGCGAUACUGCAGGUCGGAAUGUGGCCAGCGUGGUCCGGUGGACCACGCGGCUGAACCAUCAA